rnacentral:lncRNA from 1 species
CAGGGCCUUUAUCACAAUCUGCAAUGGGCUUGCCAAUCUGCUAGCCACACAUUGUCUCCUCUACCACAAUGACAGCUCCGGGGGUCAGGGACCAUCUUGGGCUCACAAUGGGUGCUUGCUCGACACUGGGUGAUAUCUGUACUCCGUGCUCACAGGUGAGGAAGCCCAGGUUCAGCAAGGCUAAGUGCCUCAACCAAGGUCACUCUGCAACCAAGGGACAAGGCCCAGAGCUCUUUUGCUCAAGCAUCCUACCCCUCAGAGGUGUCUAAUUGUGUUCUUCCCGUGUCUCUUCCCCAGAGCAGUCAACCAGACAGAAAAGUGGCUGAGCUUGGGGCUCAGGCAGGCCUGGAUUCAAAUCCCAACCUUGCUGCUCUUGGGACAGGAACUGUCCCCUCUCAGAGCCUCGGGUCUCCUCUCUGUAAAAUGGAACUCUUUCCUUUCUGUCUCGGAAGACACCUGGGAGGGGCUAACACCACCAGCCCAGAAAGCCCCUGGCUUCCCCAGCCCACUCUGGCCUCUCCUGGGUCUGCCCAGCCCAGGCCUCCCUCACUACCCUGCCCCGGCCAAUGCACCAUCAAAAAUCCCACAGGGAGCGGGGACUGCUGGGACGCCAUCACAGGCCACGCAGGAGAUUGGCCAAGCUGAGAAAGAACUCAGGAGGGGGUGGAAGGGCAGGACAGGAAAACAGCAAAGGAGAGGCUCAGGGCCAUGGGGGAAAACAGGCAGAGAAGGCCUCUCAGGUUCAAAUGCAAGGUGAGAAUUCAAACCUCACAUCAGCCACUCACCAGCUCUUGGACCGGUGACUUCACCUUUCUGUGCCUCAUUUUCCCCAUCUGGGGAGGGGGAGUAAUAAGUAGCACCCAUGGCCGGGUGCAGUGGCUCAGCCUGCAGGGAAAUAUUCUUCAGGUGUUCAGAAGGAGCAGUUCCCCUUCUCACUCCCACUCCAGCUUCUGCCAUUCUUAGCUGUGCAAACUUAAGACAGGUCAGUUCACCUCUCUAAGCUGGUUUGCACAGCAGCAAAAUGCUAGUAACAAAAGCUGCAGCCUCCAAAAGGCUAAUGAGUUGAUUAAACCAAGGAGCACAGUGUCAGUGUGGAACCGGCACCCAGCAGUGUCUCGAGCGUUCAUUUCUGACAUCCACUUAUCUCCUUGCUAAAAUCACCAGGCCGUGGGACAAUUGCAUAAGAUUAUGAGGUGUGAAUGUGUCUUGUUUUGUGAACUCUCUUGUCCUGAGCAAACAUUAGUUGGGGUUCCAGGCUCCCACCUCCCAGCUAGCCUCAGUGGUCAAACACACUAAAUGGGUCUGUGGUUAACAUGACCGGCUUUCUCCCACAUAUCUAAGGACCCAGCACCUCCCUCUGUGCCAAGGGCUUGGAGUGGUGCUUUGCACAUCUAAGCCCUUGUCUCACACCUGCUAUUAUCAUGAUUCCUCAAGGCUCGUCCCUGGCCUCCUGGGCUCGCCUCACCCCAUCCCACCCCCUCCUGUUUCUGGAUGUCGGAAUGGACUGGUUCCUCCCUGCGAGCCCUUCACCCUUGCAGCUUGGUGAACUGUGGGGUUGGUGUUGCCCUAACUAUGACAUCUCCCCAAGUCCUUUGGGCACAGCUCCGUCCACAGUGCUCCCAUACCAAGCCACCGUCAAAGCCCUCAACCUGUGAACUGCUUCUCCCAGCCCUCCUUAGAGGCAGCCCAAGGGGUUCAGGUUCAAAUUCACUUUCUGUUGCUUCCAAACUGUGAAACUGAUGUUUGCAGUUCUGGGGCUUGGAGUGCCUGAACUUGAGGUCAGGCAAGGAGCCCUCCAAGAAGAGCCUGGGAUUUUAAACAGGAACUGGGAUUACAAACCAGGCUCCCAGCCCCAAACUUUCCCCAUAGACUUGGGAGUCGGAUGGUUUUGUAACCUGCUCCACCUAGCCCACCUUGAGCACAAACCUCACUUCUGUGGACCUCAAUGUGUGCUUUUAGAAAUGGGUCUAGCACCUUCUGUGGGGUACUGUGGAUGAGAGCAAGAUGUGAGUGUGUGAAGAACUGACUCAACGCUGGUUCCAGGACAGCACUGGGGAAACAGAAGCGAAGCUGUGGGGCAGACGGGGGCGGAAGAGGGGCACCGUCUGGCCAGGCUGCUUCCCUCUCACCUCAUUUGGGUGAGCAGUGGCCACCAGCCAACUCUUGGUGACAAAGGAGGGAGCAGGGAUUUGAGAUUUGUUCCUCAAUUUCGACCCUCUCCACCUCCCUCCUUCCCUAGGUCCAGCCCCUCAGCCUCUGCCUUCAGCAAGUAAAUCCUUGAGGUCAAGCCCACAUUGCUGUCGCUGCUACUGACAGAAACCAUCGAGACCAGUGGGGCUUGGGACUGAACUGACUUCGAGGCUUUGAAGGCAUGCCCGGCCAGUUGUCCAGUUGCCCAGGGCUGGGAGGGGACGUGGUCAGGGCCACGCUGCAGGUCCCAGGUUGAAGUGAGGUUAUCUGUGUCCAGCAAUCUGCAUAGCCCUCGAGCCACCAUCAGGAGACACUGGCAUUAGGGAGGUGGAGCUUAUAGGAAUCCUCCGCUUUGUGGCGGUGGGGGAUGAGUGUCGCUGUCUGUUCCCCACAUCCCAGGCUCCCACAGGGAAAGCACAACCAGGCCCCCAAAAGGAAAAGGAGGGGCAAAGCAUUUCCCAUUCGCGAACCACGGUAUCAGCAACUGCUCCUGAGAUCCCAGACCGCCCCAGGUCCUUGGCAAACCAGGCUACGAUGCCUGCUGCCCCUGAAUUCCUCAGGGCAGGGCAACCCCCAACCAGUGUCUUGCCCAUAGGGAUCGGACAGCCCAAAGCUGCUCCCCACCUCUAAAAACAGGCGUCAUAACAAUCCCCACCUUCCCAAAGGUUAUUGUGAGGUCUAAAUGGGAUGGGGCAGGUCCAGUGUUUACCAGAUGCCGGCCCCUGGCAAGUACUGGCCACACUGGCGCUGCACUGGAGACUGGGGUGCCAAAUGCCAGCAGCUUCCCAGCAAAAAAUAAUAACAAGAGCAAGCGCUUAUAUAACACUUCUUGCGUGCCAGGCACUGUGGGACGCUGUACAUGUAUCCACUCACAUCCAUCUACAUCCUCAACUCUCAGGAAUGCCAUCCAGGGCUGGAUGGGAGUAGGGGGUGCGGUGAGAAGCCGGAAGGGGCAAAGGGAUCAGUGGGCAGGGAAGAGGAGCCUGUCCCAGGGAAUCAGGGCUAGCAGCCCCACGUUUGUGCCUGGGCUCAGCCACCUUGAGCAGGCAGGUGAGGUGGGCUCAGUGUCCAAGUCUGGGCAAAGAGAGCAAGUGAUGAGCCUCCCAUCCUCAGGAAAGGUAAUCAAAGUGUGGGAACCCCUCCCCCACCUCUCUCCACCUGGCCUGGCCUCUCCCCUCCUGCUGGCCAGGGACACACAAACACAGACUCGCCCACACACCCAGGCUCCCCUCUUUAAAAUACACAUGUAUACACAAACUGUGUUUUAAACAACCCACCCCACUACACUGACCAAAAGCAUCUGCCCUGACUCGGGCUCAGCAGGACCAAGACCUGAACCCCCUCCUCCUACAGUCACAGGCCUGCCUACCUAGUCCCCAAACACAGGGCAGGGGUCACAGACCUCCCAGCCCUUCCAAACCCAAGCCUGACACUCGGGACCAGCCAGAGGCUCCGGAAUCUCUUCUCAAGCAGGGUUCCCAGCCACCCGUCCCGGCGCCUAGGGGCUCUGAGUCAGCCUGAAUGCCUGACCCAUUACUCUUCUCCCCUUUCCCCCGGGGCUGGAACCCCAUCUCAAGCAGACCCUGUGUGUGUGGGAGGGGGAGUAGCAGAGGAGGCAGAAAAACCAGCUGCAACACCCCCACCCAACCACCAAAACCUCCAAAAAUAACAGCAGCCCCCCACACACAACCCCCUACACACCAGAAACGCAAAAACAAAAUCCUACAAAUCCAAAAUAAAGUAAAAAAAUAAAAAACAAAAGCCAAUUACUGCCCCCAAAAGGCUUUGUAACCAUUCUCAAAAAAAAGUUUAUUAAAAGUGUUCUUAAUGCUUGAAACGGAAAAG